AGAGUUUGAUCCUGGCUCAGGAUGAACGCUGGCGGCGUGCUUAACACAUGCAAGUCGAACGGAGUUAGGCUUCGGGCUUAACUUAGUGGCGGACGGGUGAGUAACGCGUGGAUAACCUGGCCCAUACAGGGGGAUAGCAGCUGGAAACGGCUGAUAAUACCGCAUAAGCGCACGGAUUCGCAUGAACCUGUGUGAAAAGCUCCGGCGGUAUGGGAUGGAUCCGCGUCUGAUUAGGCAGUUGGCGGGGUAACGGCCCACCAAACCGACGAUCAGUAGCCGGCCUGAGAGGGUGGACGGCCACAUUGGGACUGAGACACGGCCCAAACUCCUACGGGAGGCAGCAGUGGGGAAUAUUGCACAAUGGGGGGAACCCUGAUGCAGCGACGCCGCGUGAGCGAGGAAGUAUUUCGGUAUGUAAAGCUCUAUCAGCAGGGAAGACAAUGACGGUACCUGACUAAGAAGCCCCGGCUAACUACGUGCCAGCAGCCGCGGUAAUACGUAGGGGGCAAGCGUUAUCCGGAUUUACUGGGUGUAAAGGGAGCGGAGACGGCGCAGCAAGUCUGAAGUGAAAGGACGGGGCUUAACCCUGUGACUGCUUUGGAAACUGCGGUGCUUGAGUGCCGGAGGGGUAAGCGGAAUUCCUAGUGUAGCGGUGAAAUGCGUAGAUAUUAGGAGGAACACCAGUGACGAAGGCGGCUUACUGGACGGUAACUGACGUUGAGGCUCGAAGGCGUGGGGAGCAAACAGGAUUAGAUACCCUGGUAGUCCACGCGGUAAACGAUGAAUACUAGGUGUCAGCA
rnacentral:rRNA from 1 species